CAGUAGCCGCGGUAAUACGUAGGUGGCAAGCGUUGUCCGGAAUUAUUGGGCGUAAAGGGCUCGCAGGCGGUUUCUUAAGUCUGAUGUGAAAGCCCCCGGCUCAACCGGGGAGGGUCAUUGGAAACUGGGAAACUUGAGUGCAGAAGAGGAGAGUGGAAUUCCACGUGUAGCGGUGAAAUGCGUAGAGAUGUGGAGGAACACCAGUGGCGAAGGCGACUCUCUGGUCUGUAACUGACGCUGAGGAGCGAAAGCGUGGGGAGCGAACAGGAUUAGAUACCCCGGUAGUCCCUGUCUUUAUACA
rnacentral:rRNA from 1 species